UAUUGUUGAUGAUUGCAGGAGAAGCUGCCCGAUCUGUCAGGAUCUGGUCCCGAUCCCGCCUGUUACUGGACUCGCAAGGAGAACUUACGUGAUUUUCCGCGAUCUGCUCGGUCUGGCCCAGCCGAUCCUUCUUUCAGCAGCUGCGGUGCAAGGAGAAUUUCUUUGAUAUUUCAACUUCUCUUGCUUGUUCUUGGACUCGG